GCACAAGCAGCGGAGCGUGUGGUUUAAUUCGAUGUUACACGAAGAACCUUACCAGGGUUUGACAUGCAAGUGGUAGGAAACCGAAAGGUGACCGACCCUUCGGGGAGCUUGCACAGGUGCUGCAUGGCUGUCGUCAGCUCGUGUCGUGAGAUGUUCGGUUAAGUCCGCUAACGAGCGCAACCCUCGUCGUAUGUUAUAUGUGUCAUACGAGACUGCCGGUAAAAAGCCGGAGGAAGGUGAGGAUGAUGUCAAGUCAGCAUGACCUUUAUAUCCAGGGCUACACACACGCUACAAUGGUCUGUACAAUGGGUAGCCAAGCCGCGAGGCGGAGCCAAUCCUGAGAGCAGGCCUCAGUUCAGAUUGCAGUCUGCAACUCGACUGCAUGAAGCCGGAGUUGCUAGUAACCGCAGGUCAGCAAUACUGCGGUGAAUACGUUCCCGGAUCUU
rnacentral:rRNA from 1 species